rnacentral:lncRNA from 1 species
AUAACCACAGUACCGUAAAUCUGACUAAAAAUUGAUAUGUCAUGAGAGGACUAAGCAUAUUGAGGUACCACUAUAUUCAGAAUAUUGUAUCACAAAGGAUUAUUGCAUUAAAAAAGAUUCUUACAAUAGAUAAUCCAGCAGAUAUGAUGAUCAAGCCACUAAUCAUUCUCAAGUUCAAGCACCAUUUGGACUUGGUUCGUGUUUG